CUCGACAUUCAACAUUUCUUUUAAAACCGUUUGAUAAUAAAUCUCCCAUUUUUAAAAUUAUACUUAGAAAUUCUCAGAAAUUCCGCGAAAUUUUGAAUUUUCGGCGGUUUUGUUUCAAACUCAGAUUCUCAAGCGGAAACUCGUCCACGUUUCUAAGUUUUAUUUAUAAGAAAAACCUUUUUAUUCCUUUAUUGCUCAAUUUUGCACAAGAGCGACACCAGCUUUUUUAAAUUUUUUUUUAAAGAAAAGCAGAACAUUAGGUCCGACGUAGUUUAUAUACAGUGUUUUUGCCAGUGGAUUGGCAACAUUGAAUUGUUAACUGCCAAUUACAAAUUUAGCAUUAACACACUCAUCUGGUACCAUAAGCUAUUCUUCAAUCUCCAACAAGACUCUUGAUGAUAUUUAAAUAUUUAUAACAUAAAUACUUUAUUUUUUAAUGUACAUACAUUUAGUACAACCACCAUUACUAGUGACUCCCGCCCUUUACCACGUCCUCUUCAGAACACCAAGCAUUUAAAUGAAUGCUGCAAAUACUUGCUACUAGAAGAAGAAACACGAAAUAAUGACCAAAUUUGAAGUCAUUUUACUUACUGGGUAUUUGCGGGAAAAACACAAAGGCAGAAAACUUUUAUUUUUUUGAAUAGCUUCUUAUGAACCAAACAGCUUCGAUCUAACUCUCCAGGAUAGCGGGAUCCGAACAGGGGCUUCC